rnacentral:rRNA from 1 species
UACGGAGGGGGCUAGCGUUGUUCUGAAUUACUGGGCGUAAAGCGCGCGUAGGCGGACCUGCAAGUCGGGGGUGAAAGCCCGAGGCUCAACCUCGGAACUGCCUUCGAUACUGCGGGUCUCGAGUCCGGGAGAGGUGAGUGGAAUUCCUAGUGUAGAGGUGAAGUUCGUAGAUAUUAGGAAGAACACCAGUGGCGAAGGCGGCUCACUGGCCCGGUACUGACGCUGAGGCGCGAAAGCGUGGGGAGCAAACAGG